rnacentral:pre_miRNA from 1 species
UCUUAUGGAUGAAUAAAGAAAGUGGGUUCCUGAGACGGAAUCUACUCGUGGUGCAGAUGCUGUGAA